GACAGAGGUGCCAAGCGUUAGGCGGAAUCACUGGGCUUAAAGCGUGUGUAGGCGGGUCGUUAAGUACCUUGUGAAAUCCCACGGCUCAACCGUGGAACUGCUGGGUAUACUGGCGGUCUUGAGCCACCUAGGGGCAACUGGAACAAGCGGUGGAGCGGUGAAAUGCGUAGAUAUCGCUUGGAACGCCAACGGUGAAAACAGGUUGCUGGGGUGUGGCUGACGCUGAGACACGAAAGCCAGGGGAGCGAACGGGAUUAGAAACCCCGAG
rnacentral:rRNA from 1 species